UGUUUCUGUCAGUUAUUGAAAAGUUUUGUUUGUUUUGGUAUUUCUAUUUGGCAAAUAGAUAGUCCAAGAUUAUCUAUAUUUACAACAAACAUUCUUAGACAUAUAAUUUGAUCUCACUUUUUAAUUCAUAAAAAAUAUUAUGAUUCCAAAUUGGAGUUUAAAUAAGCCAUAGUGAAAUCUACUAUCACAUACAAUUUGGAAGAUCCUCUGUGUUAAUAUGAUAUUCAUACUGCUAUUUCCAAUUGCAUUUAAAAAUACCAAUAUUUUGGUAACAGUGAAAAAUAAAAUAAUGCUUCACAUAUUGGAUUAAAAUAUAACUACAAAAUAAAUUAAGUAAUCAAGUUAAUCGCAAAUAAGUGGAAAAAAUCUAUUUUGACUUACUGCACUUUAUAACUUUCACAUAAUACAUUAUGAUACCAAAUCAGAAUUUGAAUAUGCCAUAGUGAAAUAUACUUUCACUUACAAUUUGGAAGAUCCUCUAUGUUAAAAUGAUAUUCAUACCGAUAUUUCCAAUUGCAUUUCAAAAUACCAAUAUUUUGGUAACAGUGAAAAAUAAAUUAACGCUUCACAUAUCGGAUUAAAAUAUGACUACAAAAUAAAUUAAGUAAUCAAGUUAAUUGCAAAGGAGUG
rnacentral:lncRNA from 1 species